AUUGAACGCUGGCGGAAUGCUUUACACAUGCAAGUCGAGCGGCAGCACGGGGGCAACCCUGGUGGCGAGCGGCGAACGGGUGAGUAAUACAUCGGAACAUGCCCAGUCGUGGGGGAUAACACUUCGAAAGAAGUGCUAAUACCGCAUACGUCCUGAGGGAGAAAGCGGGGGAGCUUCGGACCUCGCGCGAUUGGAGUGGCCGAUGUCAGAUUAGCUCGUCGGUGGGGUAAAGGCCUACCAAGGCAACGAUCUGUAGCUGGUCUGAGAGGAUGAUCAGCCACACUGGGACUGAGACACGGCCCAGACUCCUACGGGAGGCAGCAGUGGGGAAUUUUGGACAAUGGGGGCAACCCUGAUCCAGCCAUUCUGCGUGAGUGAAGAAGGCCUUCGGGUUGUAAAGCUCUUGCGGCAGGAACGAAACGGCGAGCUCUAACAUAGCUCGCUAAUGACGGUACCUGAAGAAGAAGCACCGGCUAACUACGUGCCAGCAGCCGCCGUAACAC
rnacentral:rRNA from 1 species